rnacentral:lncRNA from 1 species
AUGUUCUUGAGUUUCAUUCACACAUUUCUUCUUCAACUCUUCAAAAUGCUCUUGGAUCUUGCUUCUAGACUUGAAGCCUCUAUUUCUGAGGAAAACGACAGAAGCUGAGAAAGAACAAUCAUUCAGAAAGCAGACAAAUCAGGAAUUCCUUGCCAAGAAGCAAGAAGAGUUGAAGAAGAAUGAUGUUCCAAAGAAGAUUGAAAAGAGAACCUGUUUUCAGUGUAAAACUGUUGGUCAUGUUGCGAAAUAUUGUCCGAAGACAUUCAAACCAAAAUAGGAAGUCUCUGGUAAACUAAAAGAGAAAGUCGUCGAGAAAACUGAACUAUCAACCCGAAAGUUUACUGGCUUUGAAAAUUCAACUUUUGAAAAAGGAGAAUGUAUAAAGAGUGUUUUAAAAAGAAAGGAAAAUGUAAAAAAUAAAAAAUGGGUUGUGAAAGGUUCAG